UUAUCGGAUUUGUUACAAGGUUGUUCUAACAAGUCUAAUACAGUCAUGAUGAACAAGAAUAUUACAAGGUUGACGACACAAGGUUGUAACAAUACUGCUAUAUCAUGACUGUAUCGGACAUGUUGGAACAACCUUGUAACAAGCCUGAUAA